rnacentral:rRNA from 1 species
UACAGAGGGUGCGAGCGUUAAUCGGAAUUACUGGGCGUAAAGCGUGCGUAGACGGUUUUGUAAGUCGGAUGUGAAAUCCCCGGGCUCAACCUGGGAAUGGCAUUCGAGACUGCAAGGCUUGGGUGCGGAAGAGGGAAGCGGAAUUUCCGGUGUAGCGGUGAAAUGCGUAGAUAUCGGAAGGAACAUCAGUGGCGAAAGCGGCUUCCUGGUCCAGCACCGACGUUCAGGCACGAAAGCGUGGGGAGCAAACAGG